UGAAGUCAUUUCUUGCCAUUAUAAAUUUUAAUAUGUUAUAUUCUUGCCUGCAACAACUAGUUAGGAAUAUUUAAUGUUGCUAGAAAAGAGAGGAGGUGUAUUGAACUUUUUCAUUCUCUUUAGCACAUCAUUGCAUCAGGCACAGCUUGUAAAGAUAGUUUUAAAAUUUGUGCUAUGACCAUAUUCAGUUAAAUCUAGCACUACUUCGCUUUCAAAACAAAUUGUUUUGGUCACCCUACAUAGAAAACAAAUUAUUCUGGUCACCCUACAUAACUUGAUGUAGCCUUCCUUUUGUACUAACAGUUUGAGGCAGUGAGAUAUGUGCUAGCAUGUGAAAUGAAUUUGAUGUAGGCUCAUGUUUCCUUCAUUAAUGAUCAUAGUUGCAGUUUUGCGUAUACAAUGUGGUGUCUAGGUUCAGGUUUGUUUUGGUUACAAAGCAUCAAGAGUUCAAGACAAAAAUGGGAGAGGGUCACUAUAAGAUUUGAUAAAUUUGUAGAGAAUUUUUUGGAAAAUAAGAGUAUGAUAUGCUGUAGGCGUAACUGUCAAUUAGUGGAGACAUAGAAACAAUAAUUUGUUUAUUUAUUAGAGGAAUUUGUCAUAAUAAAUAACUCCCUUAGCUAAUUUGCUGUAGUAAAUAGCUUUCUGGGCAUAGUCCCUGGAAUUGCCAUGUGAAAAUUGAUUUGGGGUAUUCUUAAUGCUAUGGUUUAUUCUUGAA